rnacentral:rRNA from 1 species
UACGUAGGUGGCGAGCGUUAUCCGGAAUUACUGGGCGUAAAGAGCUCGUAGGUGGUUUGUCGCGUUGUUCGUGAAAACCGGGGGCUUAACCCUCGGCGUGCGGGCGAUACGGGCAGACUGGAGUACUGCAGGGGAGACUGGAAUUCCUGGUGUAGCGGUGGAAUGCGCAGAUAUCAGGAGGAACACCGGUGGCGAAGGCGGGUCUCUGGGCAGUAACUGACGCUGAGGAGCGAAAGCGUGGGGAGCGAACAGG